AUUGCUUCUUGGCCUUUUGGCUAAGAUCAAGUGUAGUAUCUCUUCUUACCAGUUUAAUAUCUGAUAUGUCCUCUGUCCAAGGAUGAUGUAUUAAAUGAAUUUUUGAAGCAGGGAGAUGGCAUAGGAGCUUGCCUUGUCUACUCCACGCAUCCACCUGCUAUUGCAGUUCUCCUUCAGGGGGAUAACUGAG
ensembl:snRNA U2 U2 spliceosomal RNA